UACGUAGGGUGCGAGCGUUGUCCGGAAUUACUGGGCGUAAAGAGCUCGUAGGCGGUUUGUCGCGUCUGCUGUGAAAUUUCGGGGCUCAACCCCGAACUUGCAGUGGGUACGGGCAGACUAGAGUGUGGUAGGGGAGACUGGAAUUCCUGGUGUAGCGGUGAAAUGCGCAGAUAUCAGGAGGAACACCGAUGGCGAAGGCAGGUCUCUGGGCCACUACUGACGCUGAGAAGCGAAAGCAUGGGGAGCGAACAGG
rnacentral:rRNA from 1 species